rnacentral:rRNA from 1 species
CUGCCGGACCUGACUGCUAUCGGAUUGAUACUAAGCCAUGCGAGUCUUUGUAGUAAUACAAGGCAGACGGCUCAGUAACACGUAGUCAACCUACCCUAUGGACAAGAAUAAUCUCGGGAAACUGGGCAUAAUUCUUGAUAGAUCAUAAUGCCUGGAAUGGUUUAUGGUUAAAAUGAUUCGUCGCCAUAGGAUGGGACUGCGGCCUAUCAGCUUGUUGGUGAGGUAAUGGCCCACCAAGGCGAUUACAGGUACGGGCUCUGAGAGGAGAAGCCCGGAGAUGGGUACUGAGACACGGACCCAGGCCCUAUGGGGCGCAGCAGGCGAGAAAACUUUGCAAUGUGCGAAAGCACGACAAGGUUAAUCCGAGUGAUUUCUGCUAAAGAAAUCUGUUGCCAGUCAUAAAACCACUGGUGAAUAAGGGGUGGGCAAGUUCUGGUGUCAGCCGCCGCGGUAAAACCAGCACCUCAAGUGGUCAGGAUGAUUAUUGGGCCUAAAGCAUCCGUAGCCGGCUUUGUAAGUUUUCGGUUAAAUCCAUGUGCUCAACGCAUGGGCUGCCGAAAAUACUGCAUGGCUAGGAAGUGGGAGAGGUAGACGGUACUCAGUAGGAAGGGGUAAAAUCCUUUGAUCUAUUGAUGACCACCUGUGGCGAAGGCGGUCUACCAGAACACGUUCGACGGUGAGGGAUGAAAGCUGGGGGAGCAAACCGGAUUAGAUACCCGGGUAGUCCCAGCUGUAAACGAUGCAGACUCGAUGAUGCAUUGGCAUAAUAGCCAGUGCAGUGUCGCAGGGAAGCCGUUAAGUCUGCCGCCUGGGAAGUACGUACGCAAGUAUGAAACUUAAAGGAAUUGGCGGGGGAGCACCACAAGGGGUGAAGCCUGC